UGCCUAAUACAUGCAAGUCGAACGCGAACCUUCCUUCGGGGAUGAGUAAAGUGGCGCACGGGUGAGUUACACGUAGGUGACCUGUCCAAUAGCUGGGGAUAACAGGAAGAAAUUUCUGCUAAUACCGAAUGAGCUCGGCAGCAAUGAUGGUUGUCGAGGAAAGGUGGCCUCUCCUUGAAAGCUAUCACUAUUGGAGGGGCCUGCGGGCCAUUAGCUAGUUGGUGGGGUAAUGGCCUACCAAGGCGAUGAUAGCUAGCCGGUCUGAGAGGAUGACCGGCCACACUGGAACUGAGACACGGUCCAGACUCCUACGGGAGGCAGCAGUAGGGAAUAUUGCGCAAUGGGGGAAACCCUGACGCAGCAAUACCGCGUGAGUGAGGAAGGCCUUCGGGUUGUAAAACUC
rnacentral:rRNA from 1 species